GUGCUCCCUUCAGCAGCACAUAUACUACUACUGGAACAAUGCAGAGAAGAUUCGCAUGGCCCCUGCAUAAGGAUGACACACAAGCUUGUGAAGCGUUCCAUAUUAAA